CAUGGAUGAAAGAGCUAGCUGAUUAUUCAAAUGUUCAUAUCAUGGGUACUAGUGCAGGUGGUAACAUUGCUUACCACGCAGGUUUACGUGUUCUGGAUACGGACAUUAGUCCUAUCCAGGUGAAAGGGCUGAUUCUGAAUCAGCCCUUUUUCGGUGGAGUUCAACGAACUCCAUCUGAAGAGAGGUUAAGCAGAAAUCCUUAUCUACCGGUGACCGUGAGUGAUCUCCUUUGGUUGUUGUCAUUGCCACCUGGAAGUGACCGUGAUCACGAGUAUUCUAACCCAUUGGAUGUUGUUAAUCCGAAGAUUCAG
rnacentral:lncRNA from 1 species